ACGUACUAACUUUUAAGUCACGUAGUCGCGUAAAAGUAUAGGCCCAUUCACCGUCACUCGAAAACCUCGCGGUGUCGACGGAGGGCGUACCGUUUGAGAUUGGCAUCGAACCAUGAGCAUUAUGUCAGUUUUUGAUCGCCUUCGCAUUGUGUCUUAAAAACACGGGAACGAAAUCUCAAAUCAGCUGAGAAACAAACCAAAUAUUUCAUGAAAUCACAUUGCAAACAAUACAUACAAUUACAUAAAAUAUUUCCUAAAUAAUUAGCUCCUCAAAAUUCCGUUUUGGCAGCCAAUGGAACAACUUUUAUCGCGCUCGUCGUGCGUGCACACCGGAUGGCUAGCCAGUGAUAUCGACACGCAGCCAUAACAGGAUCUUGUAGUUCCCAUAUCCUAAACUCUUAUCCUGGAUUUGCGAUGCGCAUAAUGAGAUGUCAGUUUACGUAUUGCACUUAUUGUAAACCGGUCGUAAGAGUCAAGGAAAUGCCAGCUCCUACAUCAUAUUUGUCCUCUAGUGAGGCGAAUUCACAGCCAAUCACAGGCAAGCGGAACGUAACGAGAGUAAUCUCUUAAUUAGCUUGGAAGUUAGAGUCUAAAUAGUUUUUAUAACUUGGGGCCAAAAGGUAAUCAAGCAGAAUGUUCAUGGAAAAGUCAAUGAUAGUGAAGCGAUAGUGAAAUCACUUAAAUGGAUCAAUCGAAUCAAUUAGGUCAAAGUGUGGAAUGGAAUCUUCAUCUCAAAGAUUAUUGGAAUCAAUUAAUAGAAAGUGAUGGGAGGAAUGAUUAUUCAAAGAUUUUACGAUCACUUCAUUGGAUCAAGAGCAGUCUAAAAAUGUGAGGAACGAUGGAUGACGUAACUUGCCCUUCCAUAAUGGGAAUCGCGUCCUCGUGAUCCUCAUUGAUAUCUACCAUGAUAUUUGCAUUGUUUAUCUUUGUUUUACAACAAAAGUAUAUUAUUGGCAAAAUAAUCAAUAUUGCGGUAAUGAUGGCAAUAUCUGUUAUAAUGCUUGUCCAGGUAAUUGUUUUGGAUUUAAAAUUUAUCUCUUCUAGGUUUUCCAAAUGUUUAUGAUCAACAUAUUACAAAGUCAAAUUACUAUAUUCCCCACAGCUUAUAUUCCUAAUUACAUUGGGUAGUAUGACGUUAUUUUCAAUGUAGUAUAUUUGAUUCUUAAACGUAAGGUUAUUUAUAUUUAUUUGAGAAUUUGUGUAUUUAAUCAAAUUAUGUCGUGGUAAUAUAAUAUUUUGGUCUUUAUCAUUUGAAUUUUUUGUUACAAUGAUAUUUUUCAUUUAUUUGUCCGACUUACUUGAAGGAGCGAUCUUUCCAUUCCCUAAGUGGGGUGAACUCAGACCAAAAACGGAUCGAUGAAUGAUUUCGAUGGCAACGCAUGGUAAACACGUCAAUGGUCUUUGGCAACCAUUUAUCAAUUUAUAUUUGUCGAACAGAUGGCUGUGUGCUGGAGAGCUCUUUGCUGAGACGAAGGGAUUUAUGUGUGCUAUUCGGGUCGGCGUGGUCGCCACCCGAGUUUAUGAAAAACGGGUGGCGAACGACCAAUGCAGAAUAUAUGGUUCGGCACUGGAGACUUUGGACCAUCUUAUUUCUGGUUGCACUAUAAUGGCGGCGGUGCAAUACACAAUGCUGCAUGUAAAGUGAUUAACCGAAGCUUUGCAUACAAACAUGGAAUGAUGACGGGAACAUGUCCGGUUUACUGAUAUGAGCCCCAGGCACUACCUAAUCGUCCUGUUUACACAACAUUGAACGGAAGUACGUGGAGAAUACGGUGAACUAUGAGGCACUUGUUUGGAAAUCAAAGAAAUUUGGCGUCUCGAGCGGUUGGUUGUAGAUGCCAUAAUGCAUGUAUUGUACCAAAAUCCCUCAUGGCUUCCU
rnacentral:lncRNA from 1 species